CGCCUAUUUGACCCACUAAUCAUCUAGUCCCCCUUAGCACGUGGCAACGGGCGCCUUGGCCCCUUCUCGUGUUCUUCUCUUCGAAUCGAGAUCACGACCGCGAGUGACGACGCGAAUCCCCCCAACCUCAAAUUUGCCACUCGCCCUCUUCCAAAGAUGGCUGCUUCGGCGGCCUUCGCGGCGGUGGCGGUCAUGAUGCUGGCGGCAGCGCACUUGGCCGUUGCGGCGGCGGCUCCGGUGACGGCCCCAGCCUUCCUCUGGGCGCCUGAGAACUAUGGUUCCCACGAGGCUAAAGGAGUAGUCCACUAUCAGACAAUGUCACCGGCAAGUUUAGCAAAAUCUGUUCUUGAUGAAGGUGGCUGGUCAAACUUGGUGUGUUCAAGGGAGGGCUCCUAUAAGGCUGUUGACAUUGCAGUUGUUUUUCUUGGCUCGAAGCUACAAUCGUCAGACAUCUCUAAAGAUAAGCAAGCUGAUACAUCUUUGGCAGACACACUAAAGCUCUCCUUCACAGGCUCAGAGUUUUCCAUGGCAUUCCCUUAUGUUGCUUUGACAGAUAAUGACAAAUUGGAGAGCUCAUUGCUAUCUGGACUUGCUGAGAAUUGUGACAAUGAUUUUCACGGAAACCACAUCACAUACACAGACACGUGUACUGUAAGUGGUGAAGAUCUGAAGAAACAUCAAAGCAUGGAUUCUAUUCGCGACUUAGUGAUGUCACGGGAGAGAAGCAAUCCAAGGGGAAAGGCUGAUCUAAUUGUUUUCUGUAAUGGUGGUUUCAAGGAUUUAGAUAAUGCAAAAUCAGAAGGGGAGUUGCUUUCCGAGCUGGUUUCUGUGCUGAAAAUGUCUGAGGCCAGAUAUACAGUUCUUUAUGCUUCCCAACCCUAUGGUUUACUGGAGAACCUUUCCAACCUACCAUUAGCCAGGUAUCUUGCAGAGAAGACCAACACUACUACUAAAUCUGGCCUAGGCAAAUGUGAUGGGGAGUGCCUAGUAAAAUCAAGUCUUCUGGAAGGAACUUUUGUUGGACUAGUGCUGCUGAUCAUUUUGAUAUCAGGACUAUGCUGUAUGAUGGGAAUCGAUACCCCCUCGAGGUUUGAGGCUCCCCAGGAUUAGGUAGGAGAGUACAAAAUCCCAUAGAAGCCUGCCAGAUAUGAAAGCUCAAGGCAGGCGUGAGAAAUACAAAUAGCCAAUUUACACUUAUUUUGGGACGGAGGGAGUAUAUGUUACCAAGACACGUGACCGAUUUUUUGUAUAAUAUUAUUACAUCUCGGACCUAUGACCGACCAGAAAGAUGUAGCUGAGCUCAAAACAUAUUCUUAUGCCAGGCUUGUGUUAUACCAACCCCCCCGCUUCAGGCAUUUUCUGUGAAUAACCUGGAAUUCAGGUAGUCAGUAAAAUGGCAUUGUCCAUGAAUAAAAUCUUUUUUAUUU
rnacentral:rRNA from 1 species